UUGUGGUUAAAAAGCUCGUAGUUGGAUCUCGGCGGACUGAGGGCGGUUUGCUUGCUAGUAUUACUGCCCUAUAGUCCGUAGUUUUGCCAGAGGUUUCGGGGUGCUCUUAAUCGAGUGUCCCGGGAUGCUGGCAGGUUUACUUUGAAAAAAUUAGAGUGCUCAAAGCAGGCUAUUACGCCUGAAUAUUCGUGCAUGGAAUAAUAGAAUAGGAAGUCGUUUCUAUUUUGUUGGUUUUCGGAAAUCGACUUAAUGAUUAAUAGGGACAGUCGGGGGCAUUUGUAUUCAAACGACAGAGGUGAAAUUCUUGGACCGUUUGAAGACAGACUACUGCGAAAGCAUUUGCCAAGAAUGUUUUCAUUAAUCAAGAACGAAAGUUAAAGGUUCGAAGGCGAUUAGAUACCGCCCUAGUUUUAACCAUAAACGAUGCCAGCUAGCGAUCUGCGGACGUUUUUUUUGUAGACUCCGCAGGAAGCUUCCGGGAAACCAAAGCAUUUGGGUUCCAGGGGAAGUAUGGUUGCAAAAGCUGAAACUUAAAGGAAUUGACGGAAGGGCACCACCAGGAGUGGAGCCUGUGGCUUAAUUUGACUCAACACGGGAAAUCUCACCAGGCCCGGACACUGGAAGGAUUGACUGAUUGAUAGCUCU
rnacentral:rRNA from 1 species